CGAUUCAGAGUUUUCAAGAGCGCAAUUAGGGUUCUUAAACCAAUUAGGAAUUUUCUUAAUUGAAGAUUUAUACCAGGGUUUAAGGUAUGAAAUUCUUAGUGAUAUUGCUUUACAUACUCUAUUUAAUCUUUUACUCGUUAAUCGUAUGUAUAAUCAUGUCUAAUCUUGCCGAUAGAUUCUAAUGUAACUUUACAUUUUCAUCACGCGGGUGAAUUCGCAUUCACGAAUGAGGUUAAAUACUACAAAAGAGGUAAGGUUGAACAUGUUUAUAAUCAAAGGUUAGAUGUAUUGUCAAUGCCGAUGUUUGAUGAUUAUGUGCGGACUGAACUUGAAUACGAUGAUUCUAAGAUAUAUUGGCAUAAAUCUGGUUGUCUUUUUAAUGAGGUUAAUUGCAAAUCAUUAUAGGAUGCUAAGAGUUUAAUGGAAAUGUGUGCUUAUGGUCUUAGUGCUGGUAGGUUGUCUGAGUUUAUUUUAACAAGUUUAAUACUUAUUCAUGCGUAUUGAAUCUGAGUUUGUUUUAUGAUUUUUGACAAGGAUUAAAACAUGCAAUUGAUCAUUUACUACCAAGAGCAGAGCAUAGGUGUUGUGCAAGGCAUAUCUAUGCUAAUUGGAGAAAAAACCAUCCAAGCACAGCUCUUAAAAACUUCUUCUGGAUGGCUGCCAAAUCAAUAACAGUUGAGGAGUUCAACUUGCAUAUGGAUCAAAUUAAAGGUUACCCAAAUAUACUUCCUCCAAAGGCAAGAAGGAUGCCUGGCAGGCCUAAGAAAAACAGGAGGAAAGAGCAAGUUUAACAGGGAGCUGGCCACAAGUUAAGUAAGAAAACAGUGCUCCUUAGAUGUAGCUAGUGCUUAAAGGCUGGACAUAAUAAAGCAACCUGCAAAGCUACUGCAGAGGAAAUAACAGAGAUACAGAGGUCUGCAAUGGAUGCAAAGAAAGCUCAAAGUGAGGCAGCAAGGGCAAAAACAACAAUAAAUAGGAGCAAAAAGGCAACAAGUCAAGAAAAAGAAAGCUGCAACUUAGCCACAAACUGCAGCUCCAGGAGAACCACAAAUCAAGAGAAAGAGAGGCAGAUCAGCAAAAAACUAAAAAAUCUGAAGUCUUGCCUCCACCACCUUCAUUGCCUCCUCCUAGUGUUGGUGUUUAUAUUUGUCAAGACGAAGUACCUAACAACAAUUGGCCUAACAUUUAGAGUCUCACGCUCACAACCAAGUGCCCAAAAUCCAAAAAUCAAUGCCAAUCAACACUGUGCAAGCCAGCCAUGAAAUCAGCCUUGAAAUCAAGUCAUGGCGAGAUUUUUGAAGUACUUUUGAAUGUAUUAAAAACAUAUUUCCUCUUCAAGGUCAUCUAAGCACUUUUGAAUUUUAUUUUACUCUUUAGAUCAAGUAUUUUGGCAUGUAACUUGAAAACAGAUUGUGAUAUUUUCAUAUUAAGUAUUUUGGAUCUUUUGUAAUCGAUGAAAGUUUGGUGUAGAUUUCUUACAG